rfam:Oryza nivara chromosome 2, whole genome shotgun sequence.
AAAAAGAUAAAUCCUUGUUUCCAUGUCCAACGUUGACCGUCCGUCUUAUUCAAAAAAAUUAUGAAAAAAAUUAAAAAGACAAGUCACGCACAAAAUACUAAUCAUGUUUUAUCAUCUAACAACAAUAAAAAUAAGAAUUAUAAAAAAAUUUCAUAUAAAACGGACAGUCAAAGUUGGACACGAAAACUCAGGGUUUGCCUUUUU